GGUUAAGCGACUAAGCGUACACGGUGGAUGCCCUGGCAGUCAGAGGCGAUGAAGGACGUGCUAAUCUGCGAAAAGCGUCGGUAAGGUGAUAUGAACCGUUACAGCCGGCGAUGUCCGAAUGGGGAAACCCAGUGCAAUUCGUUGCACUAUCGUUAACUGAAUACAUAGGUUAACGAGGCGAACCGGGGGAACUGAAACAUCUAAGUACCCCGAGGAAAAGAAAUCAACCGAGAUUCCCCCAGUAGCGGCGAGCGAACGGGGAGCAGCCCGGAGUCUGAAUCAGUUUGUGUGUUAGUGGAAGCGUCUGGAAAGUCGCAGGGUACAGGGUGAUACUCCCGUACACUAAAACACACAGGCUGUGAACUCGAAGAGUAGGGCGGGACACGUGGUAUCCUGUCUGAAUAUGGGGGGACCAUCCUCCAAGGCUAAAUACUCCUGACUGACCGAUAGUGAACCAGUACCGUGAGGGAAAGGCGAAAAGAACCCCGGCGAGGGGAGUGAAAAAGAACCUGAAACCGUGUACGUACAAGCAGUAGGAGCCCACUAGUUGGGUGACUGCGUACCUUUUGUAUAAUGGGUCAGCGACUUAUAUUCUGUAGCAAGGUUAACCGUAUAGGGGAGCCGCAGGGAAACCGAGUCUUAACUGGGCGUUAAGUUGCAGGGUAUAGACCCGAAACCCGGUGAUCUAGCCAUGGGCAGGUUGAAGGUUGGGUAACACUAACUGGAGGACCGAACCGACUAAUGUUGAAAAAUUAGCGGAUGACUUGUGGCUGGGGGUGAAAGGCCAAUCAAACCGGGAGAUAGCUGGUUCUCCCCGAAAGCUAUUUAGGUAGCGCCUCGUGAAUUCAUCUUCGGGGGUAGAGCACUGUUUCGGCUAGGGGGUCAUCCCGACUUACCAACCCGAUGCAAACUACGAAUACCGAAGAAUGUUAUCACGGGAGACACACGGCGGGUGCUAACGUCCGUCGUGAAGAGGGAAACAACCCAGACCGCCAGCUAAGGUCCCAAAGUCAUGGUUAAGUGGGAAACGAUGUGGGAAGGCCCAGACAGCCAGGAUGUUGGCUUAGAAGCAGCCAUCAUUUAAAGAAAGCGUAAUAGCUCACUGGUCGAGUCGGCCUGCGCGGAAGAUGUAACGGGGCUAAACCAUGCACCGAAGCUGCGGCAGCGACACUAUGUGUUGUUGGGUAGGGGAGCGUUCUGUAAGCCGUUGAAGGUGGCCUGUGAGGGUUGCUGGAGGUAUCAGAAGUGCGAAUGCUGACAUAAGUAACGAUAAUGCGGGUGAAAAACCCGCACGCCGGAAGACCAAGGGUUCCUGUCCAACGUUAAUCGGGGCAGGGUGAGUCGACCCCUAAGGCGAGGCCGAAAGGCGUAGUCGAUGGGAAACAGGUUAAUAUUCCUGUACUUGGUGUUACUGCGAAGGGGGGACGGAGAAGGCUAUGUUGGCCGGGCGACGGUUGUCCCGGUUUAAGCAUGUAGGCGGAUGUUCCAGGUAAAUCCGGAACGUUACUAACGCUGAGGUGUGAUGACGAGGCACUACGGUGCUGAAGUGACAAAUGCCCUGCUUCCAGGAAAAGCCUCUAAGCAUCAGGUAACAUCAAAUCGUACCCCAAACCGACACAGGUGGUCAGGUAGAGAAUACCAAGGCGCUUGAGAGAACUCGGGUGAAGGAACUAGGCAAAAUGGUGCCGUAACUUCGGGAGAAGGCACGCUGAUGGUAGGUGAAGUGACUUGCUCACGGAGCUGAAAUCAGUCGAAGAUACCAGCUGGCUGCAACUGUUUAUUAAAAACACAGCACUGUGCAAACACGAAAGUGGACGUAUACGGUGUGACGCCUGCCCGGUGCCGGAAGGUUAAUUGAUGGGGUUAUCCUCGCGGAGAAGCUCUUGAUCGAAGCCCCGGUAAACGGCGGCCGUAACUAUAACGGUCCUAAGGUAGCGAAAUUCCUUGUCGGGUAAGUUCCGACCUGCACGAAUGGCGUAAUGAUGGCCAGGCUGUCUCCACCCGAGACUCAGUGAAAUUGAACUCGCUGUGAAGAUGCAGUGUACCCGCGGCAAGACGGAAAGACCCCGUGAACCUUUACUAUAGCUUGACACUGAACACUGGUCCUUGAUGUGUAGGAUAGGUGGGAGGCUUUGAAGUGUGGACGCCAGUCUGCAUGGAGCCAUCCUUGAAAUACCACCCUUUAAUGGCUGGUGUUCUAACGUGGGCCCCUGAUCGGGGUUGCGGACAGUGUCUGGUGGGUAGUUUGACUGGGGCGGUCUCCUCCUAAAGAGUAACGGAGGAGCACGAAGGUCAGCUAAUCCUGGUCGGACAUCAGGAGGUUAGUGCAAUGGCAUAAGCUGGCUUGACUGCGAGCGUGACGGCGCGAGCAGGUGCGAAAGCAGGUCAUAGUGAUCCGGUGGUUCUGAAUGGAAGGGCCAUCGCUCAACGGAUAAAAGGUACUCCGGGGAUAACAGGCUGAUACCGCCCAAGAGUUCAUAUCGACGGCGGUGUUUGGCACCUCGAUGUCGGCUCAUCACAUCCUGGGGCUGAAGUAGGUCCCAAGGGUAUGGCUGUUCGCCAUUUAAAGUGGUACGCGAGCUGGGUUUAGAACGUCGUGAGACAGUUCGGUCCCUAUCUGCCGUGGGCGCUGGAGAAUUGAGGGGGGCUGCUCCUAGUACGAGAGGACCGGAGUGGACGCAUCACUGGUGUUCGGGUUGUCAUGCCAAUGGCAUUGCCCGGUAGCUAAAUGCGGAAGAGAUAAGUGCUGAAAGCAUCUAAGCACGAAACUUGCCCCGAGAUGAGUUCUCCCUGACUCCUUGAGAGUCCUGAAGGAACGUUGAAGACGACGACGUUGAUAGGCCGGGUGUGUAAGCGCAGCGAUGCGUUGAGCUAACCGGUACUAAUGAACCGUGAGGCUUAACCUU
rnacentral:rRNA from 1 species